rnacentral:rRNA from 1 species
UGACCUCUGACCUCAAAUCAGGUAGGACUACCCGCUG